GGAACUUUAAGGAAACUAGGCAAAUUAGACUCAUAACCGAGUGGUCCAGGGUUCGAGUCCCUGAGGACCCACCA
rnacentral:tRNA from 1 species